GCCGGGCAGCACGUCUUUCCUCCAGAAGACAGCACGCAGAGAUAAAUGACCUGGCAAGAGCAGCCUCCUUGGAGAGACGCGAAAGGCCUCGGAGCCGGCAGAGCCGAGUGUACAAACAGCCGUCACCAGGCACAGGCAGAGCCACAGCGGCCCAACCGCUAGCAUCACCCAAGGCAUCAGUGAACCGGAAGUACUUGCUGCGGGUCGCCUGGGCUCCAUCCAAAGCAUCAAUGAACCGGAAGUACUUGCUGCGGGUUGCCUGGGCUCGUGUAGCUGUGGAAGACAGGAAGGCAUCCCUCCAGGGCGCUGCCUCCAAUCUAGUUGGAAGAUGCAACUGGCCCAUCUCCUGGGGGUUGCUCUCCAGGGGAACGUGUUGAUGGAAGCUGUCGGCAGAACGAAUCCAACAGAAAGUGGGGCAAGCCGGUAGCAAGGAGUCCAGGCCAUCGGCUUCAGAGCCGUGAAGAAGGACUUGCAGUUGCUGGCAGAGCCAAGCUGUCUGGAACGACUGUCUGGAAGACGCUCUUCCCCGUCCUGGCCAUGGCACCCGGCAAUCAGAAGCCAUCGGCGAACCCAGGGCUGCCUCGGAACCUCAUCUUCCGUCAACUUAAGGACCUAGACUCCAGCCACAUGUGAGGGUGGCGUCCCCUUUUUGAAGUCAAGAGAUUGUGGAGAAUGGAAUUAAAAGACUGUAAGCUCCUUGAGGAGAGGGCCUUUAUCCGUUUGCUCACAGCUCCAUCCUCAGCACUCAAGGGCUCCUGGCAUGGAGAAAGGGCUCAGAGGCAUCGUUACCGAGCCACAGAAUCCUAGUAUUUCUGAUGGAAGGAUCUUUCGAGAAUACAGUUCAAUGUUUCCCCAAAUGUCGGUUUUUCAUGUACCACUUUCACAGCUUUUGCGAUAUACAUAUGCCAACUGUUCUAUUAUUUACUCAUAGUUUUACUUAAAUAAAAAAUUUGCAAAACCUUGUGUGCUUUUAUAUUACCAACAUAAAUGGAAAACCAGCUUUACUUGCCUUGCAUUUAAGAGAAUCAAGAUUAAUAUCAGACAUUAAAAUUUUUAAAUGUU